CAGGUGAUUUUUGGGAGAGACAAUUCAUAUACAUGACAGGUAUACUACAGCAAAUACACAGAUGACUGAUAUACUACAGCAAAGACACAGAUGACUGAUAUACUACAGCAAAGACACAGGUGACAGGUAUACUACAGCAAAGACACAGGUGACUGACAUACUACAGCAAAGACACAGGUGACAGGUAUAUUACAGUGAGGUCACACAGGUGACAGGUAUAUUACGGAAAGGUCACACAGAUGACAGGUAUAUUAGCCCAUAAGAGUCAAACUGAUUAAUCAUGUGACCUAACAGUAGAAUGGUCAGGUGACAUUGCUUAGCAACAGUGAGCCAGCAUGAACACAGCAUGACAAUUUAUUGAAUCAGCAUAGUCGAAACUGACACAAAAGCUCUGUUAAAAGUAUUAAGCAAUAAUUAUUAAUAUUAAUAUUGAUAAUAUUAAUAAUGAUUUGAAUUAAAAACUGGUAUUUUUGUCAGAGGAACCAAUAGUACAUUCUUAAAAACGACCUAAAUCCAAACUUUUGUGCAAAGACUUUAUGCAAAGCUUAUUAAAAACUGUAAAAAAUGAAAUAAAAAAUAUUUUAUCAACAGAAUAUGAACAAAAAUAUCUCCUUUUUGUGAUCAGGCCACAAUUAUUUUUUUUUACAUUUAAGGAUACUGGCGUGGCUGUGCAAAAUAACUAAAUCCUUU